rnacentral:lncRNA from 1 species
AAGUUUUCUCUCUUUCUCUCUCUAAAUUAUCGAACGUAUUCUUGUGAGUAUAUUUUGAGUGUUGCUAUACGGUGCGGGUUUCUGUCAGCACUAUACCGAAAUUCAGUCAGAAGUACGGUUAUUUUGAGGUAAGGGGUAUUAUUUUCUUCUUAAAUGAUAUUUUUUCUUCAAUAUCAUUAUGCCGAAGUAUUGGUGAACUUUUUUAUCAAAUUUGGAACUUGUUGUGUCGGGGUUACUAUUCACGUAUACGGCACUAUUCACGUAUACGACACUAUUCACGAAUACGGCACUAUUCACCGAAAAAUAAAAAUUUUUCUUUUUGUCCAAAAUAUCUAUUCUGGAUACUAGCUUUGAUUGUAUCCAUGUUUUGAUCAUUCUUGAAUUUUACACCAAUAUGAUUAUUUUCGAAGUAUUUUUGGACAUGGGUAAAACAAAGUACGAAUCCUUAAUCCUUAAUCCUUGUCAUUUUGUUUCACUGGAUUCGUUUCUUUAAAAAUGUUUUUCAUCAUCCUCAGUCCUAAAUGGUGAUAUAAAUGAAUAUCUUUGGCCUGUAGUGCAAAGAUGAACGAUUAACUGAUGAAUAUCUUUGGCCUGUAGUGCAAAGAUGAACAGGUGUUGAGAUGAACAUGACCAACUGGUGAUACAAAUGAAUAUCUUUGGCCUGUAGUGCAAAGAUGAUUAAAGAUGUAUAUUGAUUGUUAUUACAGGGAUAAACUAUUGAUGAUGGACUUUUAAACCUUAGAAGACAGUAGAAUUCUUUCUCUACGUGACUCUUCUAAUGGAUUGCUGUUUCCGCUGCAUUUGUUGAUCUAAAACUUGUUGUCUAUUGUAUUCUAUUAGAUUUUUCCCUGUUGAAGACUAACGAUAAUUUGUUGUAUAUUAUCUUAGUCAUAAUAUUCUUUACUGGGCUAGUUGAGCUCACCCUUUUCCUUUUUGUUCCAUUUUUCUUCUCAGGAGGUGAGAACAUAGCAGGAUCGAGUCGGGGUAUGGAGUGAUGGUUCUAGGAAGAUGUUUUAGCUGUCCUCACUAUUUCUGUAAAAUAGUGUAUGAAUAAUUAAUGAGGACUUAUUUGGGUG